CCUACGGGAGGCAGCAGUGAGGAAUAUUGGUCAAUGGGCGCGAGCCUGAACCAGCCAAGCCGCGUGAAGGAUGACUGCCCUACGGGUUGUAAACUUCUUUUAUAAAGGAAUAAAGUGAGGCACGUGUGCCUUUUCGUAUGUACUUUAUGAAUAAGGAUCGGCUAACUCCGUGCCAGCAGCCGCGAUAAUACGGAGGAUUCAAGCGUUAUCCGGAUUUAUUGGGUUUAAAGGGUGCGGAGGCGGUCGGAUAAGUUAGAGGUGAAAUCCCGAGGCUCAACUUCGGAACUGCCUCUGAUACUGGUCGGCUAGAGAGUUGUAGAGGUAGGCAGAAUGUAUGGUGUAGCGGUGAAAUGCUUAGAGAUCAUACAGAACACCGAUUGCGAAGGCAGCUUACCGGGCUACUUCUGACGUUGAGGCACGAAAGCGUGGGGAGCAAACAGGAUUAGAUACCCCAGUAGUC
rnacentral:rRNA from 1 species